AGAUUGAACGCUGGCGGCAGGCCUAACACAUGCAAGUCGAGCGGCAGCACGGGUACUUGUACCUGGUGGCGAGCGGCGGACGGGUGAGUAAUGCCUAGGAAUCUGCCUGAUAGUGGGGGAUAACGUUCGGAAACGGACGCUAAUACCGCAUACGUCCUACGGGAGAAAGUGGGGAUCUUCGGACCUCACGCUAUCAGAUGAGCCUAGGUCGGAUUAGCUAGUUGGUAGGGUAAAGCCUACCAAGGCUACGAUCCGUAACUGGUCUGAGAGGAUGAUCAGUCACACGUGGAACUGAGACACGGUCCAGACUCCGUACGGGAGCAGCAGGUAGGGAAUAGUUGGACAAGUGGGACAAAGCCUAGACUCCAGCCAUCGCCGCGUGUGUAGAAGUAGGUCUUACGGUAUUAG
rnacentral:rRNA from 1 species